rnacentral:rRNA from 1 species
GACGAACGCUGGCGGCGUGCUUAACACAUGCAAGUCGAACGAAGUGGCGAACGGGUGAGUAACGCGUAAUCAACCUGCCCUUCAGAGGGGGAUAACAGGUGGAAACGACUGCUAAUACCGCAUACGGAAGGAGGGGAUUGCGUCUGAUUAGCUAGUUGGAGGGGUAACGGCCCACCAAGGAGAUGAUCAGUAGCCGUUCUGAGAAGAUGAACGGCUAGAUUGGGACUGAGACACGGCCCAGACGCCUACGGGAUGCAGCAGUGGGGAAUCUUCCGCAAUGGAGGAAAGUCUGACGGAGCAACGCCGCGUGAGUGAUGACGGCCUUCGGGGUGUAAGGCUCUGUUAAUCGGGACGCGGUACCGGAAUAGAAAGCCACGGCUAACUACGUGCCAGCAGCCGCGGUAAUAC